rnacentral:rRNA from 1 species
AACGAACGCUGGCGGCAUGCCUAACACAUGCCAGUCGAACGAGACCUUCGGGUCUAGUGGCGCACGGGUGCGUAACGCGUGGGAACCUGCCCUUAGGUUCGGAAUAACUCCCCGAAAGGGGUGCUAAUACCGGAUAAUGUCUUCGGACCAAAGAUUUAUCGCCUUUGGAUGGGCCCGCGUUGGUUUAGCUAGUUGGUAGGGUAAAAGCCUACCAAGGCGACGAUCCAUAGCUGGUCUGAGAGGAUGAUCAGCCACACUGGGACUGAGACACGGCCCAGACUCCUACGGGAGGCAGCAGUGGGGAAUAUUGGACAAUGGGCGAAAGCCUGAUCCAGCAAUGCCGCGUGAGUGAUGAAGGCCUUAGGGUUGUAAAGCUCUUUUACCCGGGAUGAUAAUGACAGUACCGGGAGAAUAAGCGCCGGCUAACUCCGUG